rnacentral:lncRNA from 1 species
AGUGCCGGGCGGUGAGCAGUCGAUCCGGAGAACAGUCGCGCCGUCGCGUUCGCCGCGAGAGCGCCUGCGGGACACGCUUGUUCUCGCGGCAGUGAGGGUGAAGCGUUGCGGGUGAAGUCCAUCUUCGUAUCAGGUCAGGUUUGGCUGGCGUGCCCGCGUGCCUACAAUGUAAAACACCUAGCCGCGUGAAGUAACUUUCUCGACGACGGUUGUGGUUUCAUGCACCGGCUCACUAAAAUCGCGGAUACGCCGGCAUCUGGAGCGACAGUUACAAAGCUUGGGCUACAGUUUCCUGUUGCCCAUUGUGGGCCCGUACUACCUUGCUCGACGACCGUCGCUGAGCGCAGGAGACAUUUGCGGUCGCACUCGCGCUUCUGAACCCAGCUGAAGCGGUACUGUGCGUGGCAUAGCGAGCAACGAGGCCGGUCCGACUGAAUGCUCUUAUGACGAACCUGGCAGUGGACGGUGAGAAGAAGAUCAAGCAGGACCUUGAGGAGCUCUAUGAGAACAUUCAUCAGGCCUUCCGCAACUUGGAAGACUGAAAAGGACCUCCCUAUCACCAGCACGGCCCCGGAAGAGCCGACGAACUGCGUCGCCGAUCGCUUGGCCCCAUCAUAGCUUCUGGUGGCGUUGUUGCCUUCAACCUCAUUAUGUGUAGGCGCGUACCAUACCUCCUGUACGAAGGUUCGCGCUUGUACUGUGUGUAUUAGAUGUUAGUGGCUUGACUUCUGAAAGCCGAGAACAGCAACACCAUUUUUUCUCUUCUUUACAUUUGAUAGUGGGACUGGCCUAUCUAAGUACAUACUAUUUUCCUAAACCAUUACUUCUUGUAUCAUCUUUUAUCUAACUUAAAACUAUCUUUUUCUAUUUUUAUCGUGUCAAUUUUGUUACCCCAUUUAACGAAGAGGCCUGUUGUAGCGACAGUGUACAUGAAAUGUAUAUAUUUG